GUAUCAGCGUAGAUAAGAAGAAGUAAUUUCAGGGUAAGCGGACAGAGAGUUGCCGGAGGGUGAGAGGCAUGCGUGGAACUGAAAUGAAUACAUCUUUGAGCUUCGCACUGAAUCCAGUUUAGGUAGUAGGCUGCGACGUGUUGACCGACGUUAUAAUGGUUCGGGUAUGUCAGUACCUAUGGAGGCGGGCAGUGUGAGCUGUCUGUGAAUGAAGGUGGUAACACGGGAAUUGCUCUCGUCCUUUUU
rnacentral:ncRNA from 1 species